AUAAUAAUAAUAAUAAUAAUAAUAAUAAUAAUAAUAACAAAAUGGGCGGGAACUGCUCCAGCCCUUCCGCUCCCUCAGGCGGUAGAGACGGAUCUUAAUAACCAAAUAUAAUAAUAAUAAAAUGGGCGGGAACUGCUCCGGCCCUUCCGCUCCCUCAGGCGGUAGAGACGGCUCUUAAUAACCAAAGAUAAUAAUAAAUAAUAAUAAUAAUAAUAAUAACAAAAUGGGCGGGAACUGCUCCGGCCCUCCCGCUCCCUCAGGCGCUCGCCUCCCCGUCUCCUU